rnacentral:tRNA from 2 species
GCCGGCCUAGCUCAAUUGAUAGAGCAACUGACUUGUAAUCAGUAGGUUGGGGGUUCAAGUCCUCUGGCCGGCACCA